CAGUCGCCGCGGUAAUACGAAGGGGGCUAGCGUUGCUCGGAAUUACUGGGCGUAAAGGGAGCGUAGGCGGACUGUUUAGUCAGAGGUGAAAGCCCAGGGCUCAACCUUGGAAUUGCCUUUGAUACUGGCAGUCUUGAGUACGGAAGAGGUAUGUGGAACUCCGAGUGUAGAGGUGAAAUUCGUAGAUAUUCGGAAGAACACCAGUGGCGAAGGCGACAUACUGGUCCGUUACUGACGCUGAGGCACGAAAGCGUGGGGAGCAAACAGGAUUAGAGACCCGCGUAGUCCCUGUCUCUUAUAU
rnacentral:rRNA from 1 species